CGCGUAGGCGGCCGUUUAAGUCAGGUGUGAAAGCCCGGGGCUUAGCCCCGGAAGUGCAUUUGAUACUGAGCGGCUUGAGUAUGGGAGAGGGAAGUGGAAUUCCUGGUGUAGAGGUGAAAUUCGUAGAUAUCAGGAGGAACACCGGUGGCGAAGGCGACUUCCUGGACCAAUACUGACGCUGAGGCGCGAAGGCGUGGGGAUCAAACA
rnacentral:rRNA from 1 species